rnacentral:lncRNA from 1 species
AUGGAUAUGGAUCGCCCUUUAUAUAUACUAUCCUCUUGCGUUUUGUCUUGUGUUUCAUGUUCUUGUUUUGUGGGCGUUGCACCCAAGAGGGAGCCAUUUGGUGCUAUGCCAAGGGAUCACUCGACUUCCAUUGUGAUCUGCUCAGCGUUAGCUCCUUGUCUUGUUGCUAGUUUGUCCCAUUUGUGAUCAGCUCAAGCUUUAGCCUUUGUAAUGUUGCUUGUCUUUUUUUUCUUUUCUUUCUAAUCUUCUUCUUGUCUGAGGAAGCAGAGCCAAAAUAUUGAUUCUUUCCUUAGUUCUUAGUAUAUUAUAGUGGUAGUUGUUGUGACGGCUCCAAAGAAAGUAUUUUGUGGACUUGUAGAGUACGCGUGUGACAUCUGCAUGAAGCUCAGCUUCGUUUCUUUUCAAGUCGUG